rfam:Bombyx mori DNA, contig: Bm_scaf1_contig151, strain: p50T/Dazao, build 2, whole genome shotgun sequence.
ACAACAUUCGGACCGUCGGUCUACCGAGCAAUAUCAUCCGCUCGGUGGAAGAUCUUCCCUUUGUCGU